UUUGGCCUACGGGGCGCAGCAGUAGGGAAUCUUCCACAAUGGGCGAAAGCCUGAUGGAGCAAGGCCGCGUGGGGGAAGAAGGUCUUCGGAUCGUAAAACCCUGUUGUUAGAGAAGAAAGUGCGUGAGAGUAACUGUUCACAUUUCGACGGUAUAUAACCAGAAAGCCACGGCUAACUAAGUGCCAGCAGCAGCGGUAAUACGUAGGUGGCAAGCGUUAUCCGGAUUUAUUGGGCGUAAAGGGAACGCAGG
rnacentral:rRNA from 1 species